CCAAAACUUUUCUGGAGGUGACUUGUGUAUUUACAUAAGUGUAUUGUUUGAUUAAUCAUCCCAUUUGUUUAAAGACUAUAUUGAAUAUCCUACCUACGAAAGUAGUUUAGGUUAACAAGGGACAAGUGAACUCAACAGAGAGAAAAAAGAACUGAACAAUGGGAUUAUGGGAAGAAGAAAGGGGAAGAGCGCGAGGGAGAGAGGAAGAAGAAGCUAAUGGUGACCGCUGCUAAUAAUUCUGCAGUGAAAAGCACGGAGGAAAACUGCGGCGGAAUCAAGGAGAACUGCGGCUGAUCCGAGGUGGCGAGAGGGACAUGGCGACACUGAUUUCAGCGCGACGGAGGAGUAGUCCUGCAACUCGGGUGGCGGAGUUUUAAAGGAAGUUGGACUCGCGAAGCAUCCUUCACGGAGAGGACGUCGGCUGAGCGAGCAGGUCGGAGUUGGUUCGUUGUUUAAACGGAGAAGAGGAUCGUCGAAGCGACAUCGAUCUCUAGUUUCACCAGGCCUGCAACGAAACCUUAAACCGG